rnacentral:piRNA from 1 species
UGCCGACAUGCGUGAGAAGCAUUGGUUGA